rnacentral:rRNA from 1 species
GGUUAAGUUAACAAGGGCGCAUGGUGAAUGCCUUGGCACUAGGAGCCGAUGAAGGACGGGACUAACACCGAUAUGCUUCGGGGAGCUGUACGUAAGCUAUGAUCCGGAGAUUUCCGAAUGGGGCAACCCAGCAGUUUUAAUCAACUGUUACCACUAGAUGAAUUCAUAGUCUAGUUGGAGGUAAACGCUGUGAACUGAAACAUCUCAUUAGCAGCAGGAAUAUAAAGAAAUUUCGAUUCCCUAAGUAGCGGCGAGCGAACGGGGAACAGCCCAAACCAAAGUGCUUGCACUUUGGGGUUGUAGGACUGAACAUUUGAGUUACCAAAGAACUUGAUAGUCGAAGGAUUUGGGAAAAUCCGCCAUAGAUGGUGAUAGCCCAGUAGAUUAAAUCAAAUUCUCUCAGUUCAGGAUCCUGAGUACGGCGGAACACGUGAAAUUCCGUCGGAAUCCGGGAGGACCAUCUCCCAAGGCUAAAUACUACCUAGUGACCGAUAGUGAACCAGUACCGUGAGGGAAAGGUGAAAAGCACCCCGGGAGGGGAGUGAAAUAGUUCCUGAAACCAUGUGCCUACAAUAAGUCAGAGCGCGUUAAUGCGUGAUGGCGUGCCUUUUGUAGAAUGAACCGGCGAGUUAUGAUCCCGUGCAAGGUUAAGACUAAAAAGUCGGAGCCGUAGCGAAAGCGAGUCUGAAAUGGGCGUUUUGAGUACGAGGUUAUAGACCCGAAACCAGGUGACCUAUCCAUGUCCAGGUUGAAGGUGCGGUAAAACGCACUGGAGGACCGAACCCGUGUAAGUUGAAAAUUGCUGGGAUGAGGUGUGGAUAGCGGUGAAAUUCCAAACGAACUUGGAGAUAGCUGGUUCUCUCCGAAAUAGCUUUAGGGCUAGCCUCGGAAUUAGGAUCAUGGAGGUAGAGCACUAUUUGGACUAGGGGCCCGUCUUGGGUUACUGAAUUCAGAUAAACUCCGAAUGCCAUUGAUUCAUAUCCGGGAGUCAGACGAUGAGUGAUAAGAUCCACCGUCGAAAGGGGAACAGCCCAGACCAUCAGUUAAGGUCCCUAAAUGUAUGCUAAGUGGAAAAGGAUGUGGAGUUGCAUAGACAACUAGGAUGUUGGCUCAGAAGCAGCCACCAUUUAAAGAGUGCGUAAUAGCUCACUAGUCGAGUGAUCCUGCGCCGAAAAUGUACCGGGGCUAAGCAUACUACCGAAACCAUGGAUGCGACCAUUAGGUCGCGUGAUAGGAGAGCGUUCUAAGGGCGGUGAAGCAAGAUCGUGAGGACUUGUGGAGCGCUUAGAAGUGAGAAUGCCGGUAUGAGUAGCGAAAGAUAGGUGAGAAUCCUAUCCACCGAAUGACUAAGGUUUCCUGGGGAAGGCUCGUCCUCCCAGGGUUAGUCGGGACCUAAGUCGAGGCCGAGAGGCGUAGACGAUGGAUAACAGGUUGAGAUUCCUGUACUAGUUAAGUGCGUUUGAGCAAUGGAGGGACGCAGGAGGCUAAGAUGUGCAUUCUGUUGGAUUAGAAUGUCCAAGCAGUAAGUCUUGUGAAGAGUCAAAUGCUUUUCACUUUAAGGACAAGCUGUGAUGGGGAGCGAAAUUUAGUAGCGAAGCGUCUGAUGUCACACUGCCGAGAAAAGCUUCUAGUGAGUACUUAACUACCCGUACCGCAAACCGACACAGGUAGUCGAGGAGAGAAUCCUAAGGUGAGCGAGUGAACUCUCGUUAAGGAACUCGGCAAAAUGNCCCCGUAACUUCGGGAGAAGGGGUGCUGAUCGCAAGAUCAGCCGCAGUGAAUAGGCCCAGGCGACUGUUUAUCAAAAACACAGGUCUCUGCAAAAUCGUAAGAUGACGUAUAGGGGCUGACGCCUGCCCGGUGCUGGAAGGUUAAAAGGAUGGGUUAGCUUCGGCGAAGCUCAGAAUUGAAGCCCCAGUAAACGGCGGCCGUAACUAUAACGGUCCUAAGGUAGCGAAAUUCCUUGUCGGGUAAGUUCCGACCCGCACGAAAGGCGUAACGAUCUGGGCACUGUCUCAACGAGAGACUCGGUGAAAUUAUAUUGUCCGUGAAGAUGCGGACUACCCGCGACAGGACGGAAAGACCCCAUGGAGCUUUACUGUAGCUUGAUAUUGAGUGUUUGUACAGCUUGUACAGGAUAGGUAGGAGCCAUAGAAACCGGAACGCUAGUUUCGGUGGAGGCGUUGGUGGGAUACUACCCUCGCUGUAUGACCACUCUAACCCGCACCACUAAUCGUGGUGGGAGACAGUGUCAGGUGGGCAGUUUGACUGGGGCGGUCGCCUCCUAAAAAGUAACGGAGGCGCCCAAAGGUUCCCUCAGAAUGGUUGGAAAUCAUUCGCAGAGUGUAAAGGCACAAGGGAGCUUGACUGCGAGACAGACAGGUCGAGCAGGGACGAAAGUCGGGCUUAGUGAUCCGGUGGUACCGUAUGGAAGGGCCAUCGCUCAACGGAUAAAAGCUACCCUGGGGAUAACAGGCUUAUCUCCCCCAAGAGUCCACAUCGACGGGGAGGUUUGGCACCUCGAUGUCGGCUCAUCGCAUCCUGGGGCUGUAGUCGGUCCCAAGGGUUGGGCUGUUCGCCCAUUAAAGCGGUACGCGAGCUGGGUUCAGAACGUCGUGAGACAGUUCGGUCCCUAUCCGUCGCGGGCGUAGGAAAUUUGAGAGGA